UCAUGCUCCACUGACAUCAGUUGCCUGCAUCUUGAUCACUGAUAGUGCAAGGAGAGGAACUGCCAAAAGCAUUUUCUGUGUUUGGAGGAUCUAUCCUCAUUCUGGGGAACCGUGGUGAUUUUCACA
rnacentral:snoRNA from 1 species